rnacentral:rRNA from 1 species
GACCAUCCUCCAAGGCUAAAUACUCCUGACUGACCGAUAGUGAACCAGUACCGUGAGGGAAAGGCGAAAAGAACCCCGGCGAGGGGAGUGAAAAAGAACCUGAAACCGUGUACGUACAAGCAGUGGGAGCACAGAGCAAUCUGUGUGACUGCGUACCUUUUGUAUAAUGGGUCAGCGACUUAUAUUCUGUAGCAAGGUUAACCGAAUAGGGGAGCCGAAGGGAAACCGAGUCUUAACUGGGCGUUAAGUUGCAGGGUAUAGACCCGAAACCCGGUGAUCUAGCCAUGGGCAGGUUGAAGGUUGGGUAACACUAACUGGAGGACCGAACCGACUAAUGUUGAAAAAUUAGCGGAUGACUUGUGGCUGGGGGUGAAAGGCCAAUCAAACCGGGAGAUAGCUGGUUCUCCCCGAAAGCUAUUUAGGUAGCGCCUCGUGAAUUCAUCUCCGGGGGUAGAGCACUGUUUCGGCAAGGGGGUCAUCCCGACUUACCAACCCGAUGCAAACUGCGAAUACCGGAGAAUGUUAUCACGGGAGACACACGGCGGGUGCUAACGUCCGUCGUGAAGAGGGAAACAACCCAGACCGCCAGCUAAGGUCCCAAAGUCAUGGUUAAGUGGGAAACGAUGUGGGAAGGCCCAGACAGCCAGGAUGUUGGCUUAGAAGCAGCCAUCAUUUAAAGAAAGCGUAAUAGCUCACUGGUCGAGUCGGCCUGCGCGGAAGAUGUAACGGGGCUAAACCAUGCACCGAAGCUGCGGCAGCGACACUGUGUGUUGUUGGGUAGGGGAGCGUUCUGUAAGCCUGUGAAGGUGUGCUGUGAGGCAUGCUGGAGGUAUCAGAAGUGCGAAUGCUGACAUAAGUAACGAUAAAGCGGGUGAAAAGCCCGCUCGCCGGAAGACCAAGGGUUCCUGUCCAACGUUAAUCGGGGCAGGGUGAGUCGACCCCUAAGGCGAGGCCGAAAGGCGUAGUCGAUGGGAAACAGGUUAAUAUUCCUGUACUUGGUGUUACUGCGAAGGGGGGACGGAGAAGGCUAUGUUGGCCGGGCGACGGUUGUCCCGGUUUAAGCGUGUAGGCUGGUUUUCCAGGCAAAUCCGGAAAAUCAAGGCUGAGGCGUGAUGACGAGGCACUACGGUGCUGAAGCAACAAAUGCCCUGCUUCCAGGAAAAGCCUCUAAGCAUCAGGUAACAUCAAAUCGUACCCCAAACCGACACAGGUGGUCAGGUAGAGAAUACCAAGGCGCUUGAGAGAACUCGGGUGAAGGAACUAGGCAAAAUGGUGCCGUAACUUCGGGAGAAGGCACGCUGAUAUGUAGGUGAAGUCCCUCGCGGAUGGAGCUGAAAUCAGUCGAAGAUACCAGCUGGCUGCAACUGUUUAUUAAAAACACAGCACUGUGCAAACACGAAAGUGGACGUAUACGGUGUGACGCCUGCCCGGUGCCGGAAGGUUAAUUGAUGGGGUCAGCGCAAGCGAAGCUCUUGAUCGAAGCCCCGGUAAACGGCGGCCGUAACUAUAACGGUCCUAAGGUAGCGAAAUUCCUUGUCGGGUAAGUUCCGACCUGCACGAAUGGCGUAAUGAUGGCCAGGCUGUCUCCACCCGAGACUCAGUGAAAUUGAACUCGCUGUGAAGAUGCAGUGUACCCGCGGCAAGACGGAAAGACCCCGUGAACCUUUACUAUAGCUUGACACUGAACAUUGAGCCUUGAUGUGUAGGAUAGGUGGGAGGCUUUGAAGUGUGGACGCCAGUCUGCAUGGAGCCGACCUUGAAAUACCACCCUUUAAUGUUUGAUGUUCUAACGUGGACCCGUGAUCCGGGUUGCGGACAGUGUCUGGUGGGUAGUUUGACUGGGGCGGUCUCCUCCUAAAGAGUAACGGAGGAGCACGAAGGUUGGCUAAUCCUGGUCGGACAUCAGGAGGUUAGUGCAAUGGCAUAAGCCAGCUUGACUGCGAGCGUGACGGCGCGAGCAGGUGCGAAAGCAGGUCAUAGUGAUCCGGUGGUUCUGAAUGGAAGGGCCAUCGCUCAACGGAUAAAAGGUACUCCGGGGAUAACAGGCUGAUACCGCCCAAGAGUUCAUAUCGACGGCGGUGUUUGGCACCUCGAUGUCGGCUCAUCACAUCCUGGGGCUGAAGUAGGUCCCAAGGGUAUGGCUGUUCGCCAUUUAAAGUGGUACGCGAGCUGGGUUUAGAACGUCGUGAGACAGUUCGGUCCCUAUCUGCCGUGGGCGCUGGAGAACUGAGGGGGGCUGCUCCUAGUACGAGAGGACCGGAGUGGACGCAUCACUGGUGUUCGGGUUGUCAUGCCAAUGGCACUGCCCGGUAGCUAAAUGCGGAAGAGAUAAGUGCUGAAAGCAUCUAAGCACGAAACUUGCCCCGAGAUGAGUUCUCCCUGACCCUUUAAGGGUCCUGAAGGAACGUUGAAGACGACGACGUUGAUAGGCCGGGUGUGUAAGCGCAGCGAUGCGUUGAGCUAACCGGUACUAAUGAACCGUGAGGCUUAACCUUACAACGCCGAAGGUGUUU